rnacentral:rRNA from 1 species
AUUGAUUUUAUGCUUGCAUAAAUGAUUUUUGGAUUCGGAGCGAGUGGCGAACUGGUGAGUAACACGUGGGUAACCUGCCCCGAAGCGGGGGAUAACAUUUGGAAACAAGUGCUAAUACCGCAUAAUUAGUUGGAACCGCAUGGUUCCAACUUGAAAGAUGGCUCUGCUAUCACUUUGGGAUGGACCCGCGCCGUAUUAGUUAGUUGGUGAGAUAAAAGCCCACCAAGACGAUGAUACGUAGCCGACCCGAGAGGGUAAUCGGCCACAUUGGGACUGAGACACGGCCCAGACUCCUACGGGAGGCAGCAGUAGGGAAUCUUCCACAAUGGACGAAAGUCUGAUGGAGCAACGCCGCGUGAGUGAUGAAGGUUUUCGGAUCGUAAAACUCUGUUGCUAAAGAAGAACAAGUGUUAGAGUAACUGUUAACACUUUGACGGUAUUUAACCAGAAAGCCACGGCUAACUACGUGCCAGCAGCCGCGGUAAUACGUAGGUGGCAAGCGUUGUCCGGAUUUAUUGGGCGUAAAGCGAGCGCAGGCGGUUUUGUAAGUCUGCUGUGAAAGCCCUCAGCUCAACUGAGGAAGUGCAGUGGAAACUACAAAACUUGAGUACAGAAGAGGAAAGUGGAACUCCAUGUGUAGCGGUGAAAUGCGUAGAUAUAUGGAAGAACACCAGUGGCGAAGGCGGCUUUCUGGUCUGUUACUGACGCUGAGGCUCGAAAGCAUGGGUAGCGAACAGGAUUAGAUACCCUGGUAGCCCAUGCCGUAAACGAUGAAUACCAGGUGUUGGAGGGUUUCCGCCCUUCAGUGCCGCAGCUAACGCAUUAAGUAUUCCGCCUGGGGAGUACGACCGCAAGGUUGAAACUCAAAGGAAUUGACGGGGGCCCGCACAAGUGGUGGAGCAUGUGGUUUAAUUCGAUGCUACGCGAAGAACCUUACCAGCUCUUGACAUCUUCUGCCAACCCAAGAGAUUGGGCGUUCCCUUCGGGGACAGAAUGACAGGUGGUGCAUGGUUGUCGUCAGCUCGUGUCGUGAGAUGUUGGGUUAAGUCCCGCAACGAGCGCAACCCUUAUUAUUAGUUGCCAGCAUUUAGUUGGGCACUCUAGUGAGACUGCCGGUGAUAAA